ACCAUACUGGCAGGGCAUAGCUGGAGUGGCAGAAAGGUGAAGGAAUGAAAAAGCAUGAUAUUUUGCUACUGUCAACAACAUCAUGCCAUUUAUUAGAAGGGGAUGUAAUAUCCAAUAUAUAUUCAUAAGUCGUGUGAAGCGGUAUCCUGUUGACAAAACUAUUUGAUCUACAAAUUGGACCUGCAAUCAGGCAAACUUAUGAAGACAAAUCUGGUGGUUGGACAGAUGAAUUUCUCUGUAAAACUGAACUCCAUGGUCAAAUUACUUACCACUUUGGCUGCCACUAAAGUCAGAAUCGUUCCAUUCAGGACUACAAGAGGAAGAGCUUGACCCACAUUCACUUGAUACCUGCAAUAAAAAAGUCAUUAUAUUA